UGCGCAAGGGGGAAAAUGGAAGGUUUUCUACCACAGAAUGUGUAACUUUGAUUUUCACACACAAAAUGGUCUCAACAGUGGUUGAAAUAUACAAAAACAGAAACCCCAAUCCAGCCCUUAGCCUGAUGCUCUGCAUGCUGUUAAGAAGGGGGUGUUGAAUGAUUCCAUUUAUUUGAAAUACCCAGGAGAGGGAGAAGGUUCAUUUGAGAACUUCCCCUGCUGAAGCUUUCCCUGACCCUCUGGGAGGGGCCGGACCCUCCGUCUGUGGUCCCACAACCCCUGAGGAGGAGGAGGCACUCAUCAGGUCCCUUGGCGCCUUGCAGCCCUUUUCUUGGGCCUGCCUUUUACCUCCAUCCUCCACUCCACUGAUGGCUCAGAGCCCAGAAUCCUGUCUUCAUCCUGGCAACAGUCCCUUCAGGGCCCAGCAGGAUGGGGGAAUGAAUAAAUGUGCCUGUUUCUGAACAUAAUCAUUAAAUUCUUUACCUGUAAUGUGGACAUUAAAGGUGAAUCAUUUCCCCCCUUAAACCCCCUCCAUCUUUCAAACCUGCUACCCCCGACCCUCACUGAGCAAAAAAUUGGAAAGCUGCUCUCACGGCAUUAUUGAAAUUGAAAUAGGGAAUAGAACCUGGAUGUCCGGAGCAAUCUUCUGACCUGGAAUUUUCUCCUCGCUUUGCUGCCUCUUGGGAAAAGCCUGUUCCGCACAAGCUGGCAAGGUACUGUGGUCGCAUCAGACCUGCCUUGUAGCCUCAGGGCAUGUGGGUCUUGGGGCAUCUGACAUAGGAGCACCCUGAUUCCGUUU
rnacentral:lncRNA from 1 species